UCCAGAUGCUGGAAUAAAGUCACUAAGUGGCUCUUGAGCAGUUGACUUAUUCUCAGCAGAGUCCCAGGCAGUGGAUCUGUGGAAGGACAGAAAGGAAUGUGCGGAACUGGUGAAGAGCAAGAUAUUGUAAUUGAACCCCAGGCAGGCACUGGACUGCAUCCCCAUAAUCCCAACUACAUGGAAGGCCGAGGCACUGAGGAUCUCAAGUUGGAAACUGCAUUUUGAUUCUGAAGUACUAUUUUGGACACCUCAAAUCUGAGAAACUUCUAAAGCAAGGGAUCAUAUCAGAGAUGCCAAAGACAGGGAAAUGGAAAGAAAAAAGUGAACUGAAAAAACCCGACGGUAUUAUUUCUUUCUGUUCAGUGUUGAUAAAAAUGGUAAAAAGAGGGUUUUAUUACAUAUAACUAAAAAGAACCAAUUAAAGUGUGGAAAAAAACUGUUCCUUUGCAUAGUCAAAUGAUAGGCAGGGGAAUAUAAUGUCACCAGAAAUUACUAUAGCAGAUUUCAAUAAAGGACUACAGAACAAUGAAGCCUUGUUAAUCCCAUACUGGGUUAUUCAAAUAGUGUGUAAUUCAAAGCAAUUGCUGCUCCCCAGGCAGGAAUUUACAAUUGCCACAUUUGAAGGGAGGAUAAUGUGUCAUUCCAAGGGGAAACCAGGUCUGGAAAGGGCCUCAUGGUUGGAGAACCUCAUGUGUCCCAAAACAGCUCUGAAGCAGGCCAAGUAAAACAAAGUGACUGAGAACCGCCCUGUGAAGUCAGUCAGCUUCACACUCAUCUGUAUUUCCCUUGCUCUCUCCUGCCUUUUUGUUGAAUGACAAAAUGUUCCCAAAGCAAGGAGCAAGAGGGGAAGGCAGAUAAAUUUAAGAACUGGAUAAGUUAUCACGUGGAAAGUGAAUCUUUUGCUUCCUGGUAAGGGCUUACAAGUUUGCUCAUGAGAACUUCAUCAUACGUGUAUGGACUGUGUGUAUAAUUAAUUAAUAACGAUAAUGAACACAGAGA